rnacentral:lncRNA from 1 species
CCAGACUCCAACAAAAGUCAGAUUUUGGUUGAAGUCAGAGAGAGGUUGUGAGAUUGCCAUCCCUUGACAUCUUUUUAAAAGUGAAUUGUUUAAUCACUUUUUUUUAAGCUGAUUUCUUAGCCAUCUUGCAGAAAUAUGAGGCAGGGGCACUUAUCCAUUAGGUACAGUAGGUAAGGUAACUAAGCCCAAUGACACCCUUAGCAGCCCAUGAAAAUGGUUUAGUUUCUUUCAUAAAAUGGUGCUGAAGAUAAUGAUAGUUGCAAAGGAAAAAAUACGGUAGACCAAUAUCAUAGUAUGUUACCAAGCAUAGGGCCUAUUAUUGGAAGCUAUUUCCAGUGCUCAGGAUAUUAACAUCUCCUGGAGCGUCUGCAAAACACAUCUUGAAGGCAGAACCAUAGUCCUCAAUUUGGCCUGCCUCUUUUAUUUGACAAUAAAGUUUUAUUUAUUUCUGAGCAUAAGAUUGGGAUUUUAUUUCUAGAAAAAGGGAGAAAAGGUGGAAGGAGGAGGAGGCAGGGAAAAGGUGGAAACUUGCCCAGGCCCAUAGCAGGAGCCCAACACAGGGAACACUUAAGCUUGUGUAGAGUACUUGUAACCAGAAGCCCGGAGGUGGAGCACAGCAGAGGAUGCAAUGUGCCACUGUCGCGGCCAGAGCCCAUGCAGUGUAAACAUUAACAUUCUUGGAUGCACUAAGCACUGGGCUGCGGUCUACACUUGCAUUCUGAGGUGGUGGAGUCAUGGCCAAAAUUUUGGAGUACUUGGACUUUUCUCAAGAAGCGUUGCACUUCUUGUCCGGACCGGGGAUUACCGCAGAUCGCAGCCCAGAGUCUGCGGAGGCGCACCGUUUCAUCAACAGCAGGGACUGAAACUUCAGCCCAGGAGAAGCCAAGAUGGCACCGUUAUCGCACCCUGGGAAUCGAGGACCGGGAAGAACUUAAUGAUGCGAUUCCUCCCGUGAUCUCAGUGAUUGUAUCAGGCGAAAACGAGGAGGGCAAAAUACCGUCCAGAUGUAAACUAGGAGCAGCCGCACCAGCAGCACCAGCAGAAUGCCGUGGUAGUGCGGCAGGCCCUGGCCCCAUGGACAAAGAGAAACUCGUCAGUGGCAGUGGCCACGAACUCAGAAAGCCUGAGGACAGUCAGCAGCUCCUCUGGCUCUUCACUUUCACACUGGUGCAACUACAGGAGCUGAAGAACAUUUUUCAACUCGUUCCAUACCCGGACGUGUUAGGAUCAGAUUCAUCAUUGGACUCCUGGACCUAUCACUGCGGACCUCAAAUGUGCACCUUUUAAGCCCUUUCCUUCACUCCUGACUGAUUGAUUUGGGAUCCACUGCUAAGUCAGACUUUUGAACCAUUGUUCCAGGCAAACUUCUGUUAAAGCUGAUGGAGUCUCCCUCUGUCGCCCAGGCUGGAGUGCAGUGGCGCGAUCUCGGCUCACUGCAACCUCCACCUCCCGGUUUUAUGCGAUUCUCCUGCCUCAGCCUCCCGAGUAGCUGGGACUACAGUGGCCUCAGGGAUAUGGAAUUAAGAUCCACCUGGUGUGAUGAAUAAACCCAGACUCUCAGCAACGCAGGAAAAAAAAAACAAAAACUGGCUGGCGAUCUGGAGUAAAGGAUCCUCACAUCCACGUGAACCAGGAAACUCUGUGCCCAAAUCGACGAAAAAAAAACACUGGGAGAGCCGAACUAAAAGUCUUUUAGCACGGGUACCAGCCCUAGAAUUUCCAGUACACCAGCAGCAGCCUGGAAACCACAUCCUCAUCAAAAGACAGAAAGAAAAAAACUCGAGCCAGCCUGAGAAGGACCCUAUUUUAUGCUGUUAACCACUGAGACUGCCAUCCUCACAGCUGAGAAAGGAUGGACCCACCAUACUCAAGUCAAGAAAACAUCUUCCUCGUCAGAAUCAUGGGUUACUGUACUAGGAUUAAGCCUUACUAAGUUAAAGUUAAAGAAAGCUUAAUUUUCAUAUACCUUCUAUAUUGCUUCUUUUCCUUUCCUUAUUCUGUUACUAGCUCCUUUGUUAUUAAUGUAACUAAGUCUGAGUCACCUCAGACCAUUGCCUUUUAUGCUUGCUCUGUCAUACCUUGUGGAAAUGUAAAAGAUCAAUGACAGCUAGCCUUUUCACACAAUUAUUUAUGCCUCGGCCCUCUAAUUGACACAGUUACCCCUAGCACUCAUCGUUGUGAUCACCUGCAGCCAAGACGCUGAUUUUCUGCUCCUAUAGCCUGGCAACCUUGUGGUACAUGGGACUACGUCCUUUAAACUACCCAGGAGCAAAGUUGGACUUCCAUGAAAAAGGUUUGUGCAGAUCUAAAACCUCUCAUCUAUUUCACUAAAAGGACUUCCCCUUCUAACUGUCACCCUUACCAAUGUAACCCUGUCCUCUCUAUCACCACCUCCACCUGUCUUUAACUAACUCUAGACCUGUCCUUAAUUGCUUUUAUGGUAUUGGAAUAGGAAUUAAAAGAAAUUAAAGAAUGUGUAAGGAGAAACUCAGUUGUAUGUAAGAAAACCCAAUUCCCCCUGAGAAAGAGAAAGAGUUGGAGUCCUUUAAAAAUUAACUGCCUGUUUUUCUGUGGCUAGUGAGCCUUAUCUCUCCUCCUUUCCCAGACAUUGUGAAGACCCUGUUUCUCUAGCUGUGCAGCUGCAAGGUCACUAGACAGAUAAACUCAAGUUGUAAAACAUGUUUUUCCUUGAAAAGUAAGAAAUGCUGUAAUGCAUUUCUCAAUUAAUUAAAUAACUGUCUUUGUUUCUCGCUUCUGUAAUAUGCUUCCCCCUGCACAGAUCUCCACCCACCCUACAAAAUGCUUAAAAGGUAACUUAACUCUUUGUUCUGGGCUCAGUCCUUUGGGCUGAGUACUGGGCCGGUGCACCUAA